rnacentral:rRNA from 1 species
AACGAACGCUGGCGGCAUGCCUAACACAUGCAAGUCGAACGAGAUCUUCGGGUCUAGUGGCGCACGGGUGCGUAACGCGUGGGAAUCUGCCCUUUGGUUCGGAAUAACAGUUGGAAGCGACUGCUAAUACCGGAUGAUGACGAAAGUCCAAAGAUUUAUCGCCAGAGGAUGAGCCCGCGUAGGAUUAGCUAGUUGGUGUGGUAAAGGCGCACCAAGGCGACGAUCCUUAGCUGGUCUGAGAGGAUGAUCAGCCACACUGGGACUGAGACACGGCCCAGACUCCUACGGGAGGCAGCAGUGGGGAAUAUUGGACAAUGGGCGAAAGCCUGAUCCAGCAAUGCCGCGUGAGUGAUGAAGGCCUUAGGGUUGUAAAGCUCUUUUACCCGGGAUGAUAAUGACAGUACCGGGAGAAUAAGCUCCGGCUAACUCCUUGCCAGCAGCCGCCGUAA